rnacentral:rRNA from 1 species
ACAUUUUGUCAAGGUGCUGCAUGGUUGUCGUCAGCUCGUGCCGUGAGGUGUCGGGUUAAGUCCCAUAACGAGCGCAACCCCUAUUGUUAGUUGCCAUCAGGUCAUGCUGGGGACUCUAACAAAACUGCCCGCGUAAGCGUGGAGGAAGGUGGGGAUGACGUCAAAUCAGCACGGCCCUUACGUCCAGGGCUACACACGUGCUACAAUGGCCGGUACAGAGGGCAGCCACUUGGUGACAAGGAGCAAAUCUCAAAAGCCGGUCUCAGUUCGGAUCGGAGUCUGCAACUCGACUCCGUGAAGUUGGAUUCGCUAGUAAUCGUAGAUCAGCAAUGCUACGGUGAAUACGUUCCCGGGCCUU